AAAUGACUCCCGGCAACGGAUAUCUCGGCUCUCGCAUCGAUGAAGAACGUAGCGAAAUGCGAUACUUGGUGUGAAUUGCAGAAUCCCGUGAACCAUCGAGUCUUUGAACGCAAGUUGCGCCCCAAGCCUUCGGGCCGAGGGCACGUCUGCCUGGGUGUCAC
rnacentral:rRNA from 1 species